AUUACUCCUGUACACGAGCAGGCUGUGCAGUGUAGAGCGAUGGUGCGAGGUGCUGGUAGCAGAAGUGGUGCACCACACGGCCGUGUUGCCAGGCUCGCUGCUCACGGCGCUGCACGGCCUCCUGCUCACCGGCUGCCCUGGCGCUGCUAUUCCUGCUCACCUGAAGUCCCUGGCUUGUGAAAAUAUUUUACGCGAAGGGCGAGACUGGUCGGAGCGCGACAAGUUGGUCCUCGUUAAGCUCAUCAGCAGAUAAUAAAACUGAUCAAUUGUC